UUUCUCCUUUGCAAUCCCUGAGUUUUUGGUUGCAAUUCUAGCACAACCCUUUCGGGUGGGCGGGACUUCUGAGAAGUCCUCUCCCAUAGGACAGUGGUUUCUCUUGAGUGACAGUUCAGUGACCUGGAAGUGAUGUAGCCUCCAAGACAUUUUUUUUCCACCUGGUCAACAACAUGAAUUUUGAGCUCCAAACACGUUAUUUCUGCUGUCUGUGGUGUCUACUGAGGAUCUAAAGAACCUGUGGAACAUCAGAGACUUUGCAGCUAUUAGAGUUAACCUGUGUACUGCUAACUUGCUACAGAGGAAGCAGCAGAAAGCUGAGCUAACAGGCUGUUUUGCAGUGAAACGAAUGGAUUUUAUGAUGUAACUCUGACUGAUUAUCUAAAUUGAAAACUACUGCAUUGCAUUACAAUGGAAGUGCUACACGGCCACAUGCAUCAACUGCAGCUGUUGACAAGCAUAUGGACCUAUUGUUCGAGUCCGUGGUGGUGGAUGCUCUAUCAUAUCAGGAGUCUGUGGUGGUGGAUGCUCUAUCAUAUCAGGAGUCUGUGGUGGUGGAUGCUCUAUCAUAUCAGGAGUCUGUGGUGGUGGA